rnacentral:rRNA from 1 species
CCUACGGGAGGCAGCAGUGGGGAAUAUUGCACAAUGGGGGAAACCCUGAUGCAGCGACGCCGCGUGAGUGAAGAAGUAAUUCGUUACGUAAAGCUCUAUCAGCAGGGAAGAAACACUGACCUUACGGUCAGCAGACGGUACCUGAGUAAGAAGCACCGGCUAACUACGUGCCAGCAGCCGCGGUAAUACGUAGGGGGCAAGCGUUAUCCGGAUUUACUGGGUGUAAAGGGAGCGUAGACGGUGCGCCAAGGCUGGAGUGAAAUGCCGCAGCUUAACUGCGGAACUGCUUUGGAAACUGGCGAACUAGAGUGCAGGAGGGGUAAGCGGAAUUCCUAGUGUAGCGGUGAAAUGCGUAGAUAGUAGGAGGAACACCGGUGGCGAAGGCGGCUUACUGGACCGUAACUGACGUUGAGGCUCGAAAGCGUGGGGAGCAAACAGGAUUAGAUACCCGUGUAGUC